AGAGUUUGAUCCUGGCUCAGGAUGAACCCUUUCGAGAGGCUUAACACAUGCAAGUCGAGGGGCAGCACAGGUAGCAAUACCGGGUGGCGACCGGCGCACGGGUGAGUAACGCGUAUGCAACUUGCCUAUCAGAGGGGGAUAACCCGGCGAAAGUCGGACUAAUACCGCAUGAAGCAGGGGCCCCGCAUGGGGAUAUUUGCUAAAGAUUCAUCGCUGAUAGAUAGGCAUGCGUUCCAUUAGGCAGUUGGCGGGGUAACGGCCCACCAAACCGACGAUGGAUAGGGGUUCUGAGAGGAAGGUCCCCCACAUUGGUACUGAGACACGGACCAAACUCCUACGGGAGGCAGCAGUGAGGAAUAUUGGUCAAUGGGCGUAAGCCUGAACCAGCCAAGUCGCGUGAGGGAUGAAGGUUCUAUGGAUCGUAAACCUCUUUUAUAAGGGAAUAAAGUGCGGGACGUGUCCCGUUUUGUAUGUACCUUAUGAAUAAGGAUCGGCUAACUCCGUGCCAGCAGCCGCGGUAAUACGGAGGAUCCGAGCGUUAUCCGGAUUUAUUGGGUUUAAAGGGUGCGUAGGCGGCCUUUUAAGUCAGCGGUGAAAGUCUGUGGCUCAACCAUAGAAUUGCCGUUGAAACUGGGGGGCUUGAGUAUGUUUGAGGCAGGCGGAAUGCGUGGUGUAGCGGUGAAAUGCAUAGAUAUCACGCAGAACCCCGAUUGCGAAGGCAGCCUGCCAAGCCAUUACUGACGCUGAUGCACGAAAGCGUGGGGAUCAAACAGGAUUAGAUACCCUGGUAGUCCACGCAGUAAACG
rnacentral:rRNA from 1 species